rnacentral:rRNA from 1 species
CCUACGGGAGGCAGCAGUGGGGAAUAUUGGGCAAUGGAGGAAACUCUGACCCAGCGACGCCGCGUGCGGGAUGAAGGCCUUCGGGUUGUAAACCGCUUUCAGUAGGGAAGAAGCGAAAGUGACGGUACCUACAAAAGAAGCACCGGCUAACUAUGUGCCAGCAGCCGCGGUAAUACAUAGGGUGCAAGCGUUGUCCGGAAUUAUUGGGCGUAAAGAGCUCGUAGGUCGUUUGUUACGUCGGAUGUGAAAACCUGAGGCUCAACCUCAGGCCUGCAUUCGAUACGGGCAAACUAGAGUUUGGUAGGGGAGACUGGAAUUCCUGGUGUAGCGGUGGAAUGCGCAGAUAUCAGGAGGAACACCAAUGGCGAAGGCAGGUCUCUGGGCCAAUACUGACACUGAGGAGCGAAAGUCUGGGGAGCGAACAGGAUUAGAUACCCUGGUAGUCCAGACCGUAAACGGUGGGCACUAGUUGUGGGAACCUUCCACGGUUUCUGCGACGCAGCUAACGCAUAAGUGCCCGCCUGGGAGUACGAUCGCAAGAUAAAACUUAAAUAGAAUUGACGG